rnacentral:lncRNA from 1 species
AACUCUUCAAAUCUGUUAAUUUUUUAACAACUAAAAAUUAUUUAUUAAUUAUAUCGUAACCAAAUUACAUAAAUACAUAUACAAUAAUAAAAAAUAACAAAUAAAAUAAAAUGAGAAAACAACAAAUCUGUUAACUAUAAUAACACAAAAUACUGCUUUGAUUCCCUUUUUAUUUGGUAAAAGAAGUUUUUCAUUAAAAUUUUGUAAAGUUGACAGUGAAAAAUUUGGUACUCUACUUUUUAGCACCUAGCUUUAGUUUCUUCUUUUCUCUGUCAAAACAAAA